rnacentral:rRNA from 1 species
UACCAGCACCCCGAGUUGUCGGGACGAUUAUUGGGCCUAAAGCAUCCGUAGCCUGUUCUGCAAGUCCUCCGUUAAAUCCACCUGCUCAACGGAUGGGCUGCGGAGGAUACCGCAGAGCUAGGAGGCGGGAGAGGCAAACGGUACUCAGUGGGUAGGGGUAAAAUCCAUUGAUCUACUGAAGACCACCAGUGGCGAAGGCGGCUUGCCAGACCGCACUCGACGGUGAGGGAUGAAAGCUGGGGGAGCAAACCGG